CUUGCCGGCUCCCUGCCUGUUCUGCCAGCCCCUCUAGGUGACUGAUUCUUGCUUGCCCGCUCUCACUUUGGCAGUCAUGGGAGGAGCAAUCAGGUCUCUCAAAGCUUCUUGGCAAUGUCUGACUUCUAACAGGUUCUGGGGAGGAGCUGGAUUCAACUGACCUUGGACACAAGGUUGCAGCUGGGAAGGUGAUGGCUAUGACUUUUCUGGUUCCACCCAUAGCGGGAAUUUGCCCUGCUUCCAUCAGUGCGUGACUAAUUUCCUGGACAUCUGAGCCAUCAUAAAUGUCUGAUGUAGGUGAGGAAAACAAAAUUACCACUAGUUGUAAAUCCCAGUGGACUUAAGGUGUGUUUUAAAGAAAUGCAGCUGACAUUGUACAAGUCGAUGGAAUAUCGAGAGUUGUGGAUUGAUAAGCAGGCUUUUUCAAAGGAGAAAGGAGAGUGGAACACCAAAGACUGUGGCCUCGGAGAAAACAGCCUUUACUUUGGAAACAGCUGGAAAUUAUCCGAGGAAGACAGUAAGAGACAAGCUUGACUAAUGAGAUGUUCAGCGACCUCAAACACAAGAAACUGGU